GGUAAGUUAGCUCAGCAGGUUAGAGCACGGUGCUGGUAAUGCUGAGGUCAUCAGUUCAAUCCCAAUACUGGUCA
rfam:Poecilia formosa, whole genome shotgun sequence.